AAACAGCACCGUACCCUAAACAUUACUGUUGAUCUUGCUUCCAUACACAUUGAUGCCCUUGAUGUAGUCAGCGGGAAUGGCCAUGAGCAUGCAAUCGUGUACAUUGGAACAUCCCAAGGAGUGUAUGGCGCUCGGGCGACAAUCAAUGUGUGGUCCCCUUUGAUCGAACACGUAAACGAGUUCAGUUUCGUACACAUCCAGUUCUCAAUUACUCAUUGACGCAAUCUCAUGGUUUUGCAGACUCAUGUGAGAACAAAAGGUGAUGAUCUACACGAAUGCAUAAAGGUAUGGAUGAAUUCUGAUAUCAUGAAUUUUGAUCGCAUUUUCAUUUAUCCAUUUAAGUUCCUAAGAGUUUCGAUUGCAAUUUAAUAUAAUCAUUGUAUAUUAACGUAGCUGUCAAUGUGCUACAUUUGACAGAGUCUAGAGUGGUUGUUAAAGUAUAUAUGAGAGUAUCCUAGCAGGUAAAGGAACAUGUAAUUUUUCAAGAGUUCUAUUCACUUUUCUUGAUUGAGAUCAAAUGUAUAUUUCUACCUCUACAGGUACAAGAUUUUUUUCUUAAUCCAUAUGCUUAUGUCCAUCCAGAUAGAGAGAGGUAAUAAUUACUGAGGCUCAAGCAUUAGGGGUAGUAAUUCACUCUCAAGGUCCUUUGUUUGGAGGUGUUCAAAGAAAUAUGAAGUCUUCAAGUGACAAUGUCGUUGUUUGUUAGAGGUCUCUAGAUAGUUUGGUAUUUAUUUGUAUAUAUCUCAUCGUUUUGUUGUUAGCUUUAGUUUAGUGUACAACUGUAAUGUUUGAAUGUAUGAUUUUUUAUUUAAUUGUUAUAUUAUAGUAAAUGUGUAAUUUUGUUUAUAAAUAUUAUAUAAUACAUUUAUUAAACAAUAUUUUUUUUUU